rnacentral:lncRNA from 1 species
AUGGGAGAUAAGUUUGGCUUUAUAUCCAGCCCCCUGCCCCGAGGACUCCGUACACAUAUUUCACAAAUAGUUGUUUAUUGAUUUAUUUGUUGUUUUUGCCCCCCAACAAUCCAUGUUGUGCUCUUAGCAUUUCCCUCACCCCCAACGCCACCCUGCACAGAUGAGUGGCGAUGCGGUGGUCACAUUGCCCUCGUUUACAGUCUGAGAAGUGCACCUGCUCCUGAUUACCUUAAGUCACUUAAUAAUGUUUCUGGGCUUGUUUCUGUUUUAUGGUAAAAUGGGGAUCAGGAAAACAAAAGUAAGAAAAAAUGAUGCCCCCUCCCACAGUUAUUAUAAAGGUGAAAUAACGGUUAUAAAAAGGUAUUAACAUUCUGACAUACACACAUUUAUAGUUAUUUUUGGUUCAAUCCAAUAAAAACACUUUAGUUUUAA